rnacentral:rRNA from 1 species
AUGCUUAUUGCACCACAUGUGUUUUUUAUUGAACAAAUUUCUUUGGUGGCGGGAGCAAUCCUACCGCCAGAGGUUAUAACUAAACCAAACUUUUUAUUUACAGUCAAACUUGAUUUAUUAUUACAAUAGUCAAAACUUUCAACAACGGAUCUCUUGGUUCUCGCAUCGAUGAAGAACGCAGCGAAAUGCGAUACGUAAUAUGAAUUGCAGAUAUUCGUGAAUCAUCGAAUCUUUGAACGCACAUUGCGCCCUUUGGUAUUCCAAAGGGCAUGCCUGUUUGAGCGUCAUUUCUCCCUCAAACCCCCGGGUUUGGUGUUGAGCAAUACGCUAGGUUUGUUUGAAAGAAUUUAACGUGGAAACUUAUUUUAAGCGACUUAGGUUUAUCCAAAAACGCUUAUUUUGCUAGUGGCCACCACAAUUUAUUUCAUAACUUUGACCUCAAAUCAGGUAGGACUACCCGCUGAACUUAAGCAUAUCAAAAG